UAAAGUUCCCUUUAGAGACACCUGGGCAGAAAAAAAAGAAGGGAAAAGCGCCCCAGGGAGAGCUCAUUUGGGGAUUUUUUUUUCCUGAACCCAAAACACACAGGGAAAAACAAACCCACCCGUCUACACUGGGUGCCAGAGAUGGGCCCGGCGCGCCCUGACUCAGUGCUGGGCUGGCAGCGAGCUGGGCACACACGUGAGGCCCAGGCACACGCAUGCGAGUAGAGAGCUACAACACAAGUGCGUGUGCAGAGCCGGAAGUGCUGGGUACGCACAUGUGGGAGUGGCCCAGCCCUGGAACAGCAGAGCCUGCCCUGGUGGGAGGAUGAGGAAGGGAGUGCCACAGGUCUGAGGCUCUGGGCAGUUCCUCCCAUCGGAUGCUGACUUUGAUGGGGCAGAAGGAGUUCUUUCCGUCCCAUCCACCCCAACCCCAGGCCCGCAAACAGGUCAGGGGAGCAGGUCAGAGGUCCAGCUCUGGAUCCACUUCAACAACCCUCCCCUGGCCCACAGAGGCCAGGGACCAGACAGGUUUCCAGAAUCCAGACGUACCGAGUCCCUGACCCUUCCCCAUAUGGACAGAUGUUAGUCUCCAUCUCUCUGGGAUGUGAUGUGAACAGCUGCUCCAGAACCCUGGAGCAUGCCAGAGGCCAAGGCUUGAGGCCAACAUCGUACCCUCCCUCCAACUGCACCUUCCAAAAGAAGCGUGGAGCCAGGGCCGAAAGCUGAGACCACCUCCUCCUGCUGGAGCCGCCAGGAUGUGCUGCCCAGACUUUGGCACUGAUGUUGAUGAAGAUGAUGAGUGUGGGGUCCUCACUCUCCCUGGGCCCCUCUCUUCCUCUCCAUCCCCAGCUUCUCCUUCAUGUGGCCCCGGACCCUUCCCCUGCCAGCUGCCCCGAUGCCACCCCUAC
rnacentral:lncRNA from 1 species